UGUAUUUCUCAUAUCUGCCGCCAUGAUUGAGUUGAUGUUUUUGUGUCUGUUGGCAAUGGCCAUGGUGUAGUUUGUGUCUUAACAUGUGUUUCAUUUUUGUUCCUCUUGGAUAGGGUUGGGUGUCAUUUGAAAAAUAGCAAAAUGUUUCUUUUUUUUGUCCUCUUGGAGAGGGUUGGGUGUAGUUUGAAAAUAUGCAAAGUGUUUCUUUUUUGUUCCUCUUGGAGAGGGUUGGGUGUAGUUUGUCAAUAUGCUUCCGGUGUAAUUUUUGUAUCUCUUUGAGAGGGAAAGGUAGUAGUUAUUCAAAACGCAUUUUUGUACCUCUUGGUGUAGUUUUGGUGUACUUGGUGAAUAUGCUAAUGGUAAGAUUUUUUGUGGAGAUGCAACGGGUAAUUUGGUGUACCUGUUGGAGAGGUGGGGUGUUUUGUUACCAUGAGCCAAUUAGUAUGCCAAACAGCUAGUUUUUGGUAGCAUGAUUUUGUACGUUGCUGUUUUUGUGUCUUUGAUGACGGGCAACAUGCACAGGUUUGGUUUCUUUCCAUUCUCAUUUCAAAAUUUACUGUAUAAACAUUUGACUAAAGAAGGGUAAGGAAAGAUUGGGCAUACACCCAUUUGUUGUAGCAACAACCAAUAAAUCUGUGUAGAAAUAGAUAUAUAUGUAUAUCUACAUAUAUCUAUAUAUUUUAUAAUUAUAUCUUAUUUCAUUCUUCAGAGUAAUUUUUUUUUUAUAUACUUUCUAACUUCUUAUUUGGAAUGUGUACUUCUUUGCAAUAGUUUCAGUUGGAGAAGAGCAGCAUUAGUAGGCAUAUUUAUAAUUUUGAUAAUCUUGUAAGUUAUUUUUAUUUUAAUUAAUUUGUACUCAUUGGGUGUAGUUUGGUGAGCACAUAUGGAACUUUUGUUUCCCAUUGAUUUUCUUCAAUGCUAAUGUCACAGGUGAGGGAGGCCAUCUAUUGUGUAGAAUAUAGAUUGGUCAGGCCAGAAGAUGAUCAAAAGUAAGUAAAAAAAGUAUAUCAUGUUUGUGUUAUUGAUGGUUUCUGAUCUCUGCUGGUUAUUUCUUGUUAGUCAUGGCAGGGAUCAUAAUUUUACCCCAUCUAACUAUAUUUUAUGUUAAUAUUUGUAGUCGAGCAGCGGAAACAGCCAGACUUAAGGGGUUUAAAGGUAUAACUAUGGGUGCUCCCCAAAGGCCAAAACUUGCCUAUUCUCGGCAUUUGGUGAUUUUCAUCAAAAUUCUAUCUUUUUAUUUAAUAACUGGAAAGUAUCAUAUUGAGGUUAUUUUUCCUAUAUUUAGGUUUCCUCUAAAUCAUAUGGUGAGUCACUUAGUUCUGAACUUGCUGCAUUUGUAUCAGCUUCAAUCGUUGCUAUGAAAUGGAUUUUAAAACUCAUGAAGGAAGUGAUGCCAACAAAUUUGUGAGGGAGUGGCUUUGUAGGAGUUUUGGGCUGAUCACCAUGAUAAAUUAUUAGCUUGUGGGGCCAUGAUUGUUGCAGAACUUAGGAUGCUGUAGUUGAGGGAGACUGAAUUUACUUGUUCUGAUGGGAUUGCUCAUAAUAAGAUGCUGGCCAAACUUGCAAGUGCUAUGAAUAAACCUGCAAAACAAACUGUUGUGGCCCCUAUCAUCUGUCAAAGGAUUACUCGAAUCCUUGCCAAUUAAGAAAAUUUCUUGUGAACUGCAGUGCUUACUGCCAAAGAAAACAUGGUGUUCAGAAACAGCUUGGAGGAAAGCUUGGGAGUUCUUUACAAAGUGAUUUGGGUGUGAAUACUGUUGGAGAGCUAUUGCAGUUUUCAGAGGAGAAGCUGGAAGAGAAUUAAGGGGGGAAUGCAAAAGAGUUAUGACAGUAUUAUUAGAAUGUUAUUGCAAUGUAUUACAAUGUUAACACAACGUUAUAUUUUACUUAUUCACAAAAUGUAUGUAAAUUUAUUCAUUCAACAUUUGUUCCUUGAAAGCGUAGUACAAGGUAUUUGGUUUGGAUUAUUA